AGAUAGAUUUAAAAAUCAUUAACUUGCAUAAAAAGCAAGUGGCACUUUGGGAUUUAGUGUUACAAGCAAGACUUCAUUUUAAUUUAUCCUAUUUACCUAAGAAUAGCAAUGUUACUGAUUUAUUCUGAAAGAGCUUCCCCCACACACACAGUGAUUUUUUUUUUUUUACUGUGGUAGGUAAUAAAAAGGAUUACAGGCCCCCAGAAGGAUGAGAUAUCAUCAGUUUGUAAUCCAGCCCAUGGUUUCCUAGAUACCGUAUUGUCUAUUCUGUUCCGCUAUGUGAAAAAUGUUGAAUAUCAACAAUGGGUUUCAGUGCUGUAUUGUUGAGUUUUGUAUGAACUAAUCUAGCUUCACUAAGGAAGAAAAAAAAAAGAAAGAAAGAAAAGAAAAGAAAGAAAGAAGAAAAAAGAGGGAAAAAAAAAGAACCACAGCUUUGGACAAAAGUCUAUAGCCAGUGCAUUUGAAACUCCCCUUGCACAAGGGCUGACUGUAGCUGGGGAAAGACAGUUUACUCAUUUGCUCUCUCCUUUCAUACAGUCAGCUGGCCCUCUUCUCAGGUGUAGAUCACCUAUUAUCAUUUCACCUGUUUUGAUUCUCUGAUGAGGCAAGUCCCAGGACUUAUCAGCAGGGAUAGGCCUCAUUGCCAAGACAGCUCUGUUCAGUAUUUGGAAGAAAGCCUGACAGGUUUCUCCGGGAAAGUGACCAUCCAUGGAAUGAAUGAAAUGUUCCCUUUCUAUUCCUACCACCAAUAACAUUUUCCCUCGGCCUCAAGAGACACUCACAAAACAAUGGCUCACAGUGCUUUUAGGACAAGAACUGCAGUUGUGCACUGUGCAUGUAUAGUCCUACGGAGGAGGAAGGCAAUGUUUAAAGCUGCUGUCGCCUCCUGGAAAAAAAAAAAAAGAAAACUGGGACUCUGAGUCGAGUACGUAUGCAUUUUCUGUUUUUCUGUCCUGUGGGUCUUUAUUGCUAAAAAUAUUUUUAUGAAGUUGUUCUGCGCUUCUUUAAGCUUCGUGUGGUCUUGUUUGCUUGUUCUCAAAUCUCAAACCACGACAUAGUUAUGAAACAUCUUGAGUUAUUAAAAGUAGAGAAAACUGUACUUUGUUUGUGAACUGAACAGCAGGCCAAGCAAUGGCUUCAUAAAGUAAAAUCUUAUAUGAAAAAAUGUUCUUUUUUCAUUAUAAGCUAAAAGGAUGACAAACUGAGACACACUCCAUCAAACAGUUAAGAGCAUGGGCUUCAAUUUAGACCCACCUGAAUGUGAGCCCUGGGUCUACUGCUGGCUAACCAUGUGAUCUCUGACAACUUAACCUCAUUAAGUCUAUCUCCUCUUCUGUAGUGUGGGGAGUAUAUCAUAGUCCUCAGAGUUAAGGUGCAUAUUCUUUCACAUUUUAACAUCUCUGAUAUAAGAAUGCAUCUUAGAACUGAUGAUAUGUCUUGGUUUAAAUAGUAAAGCUUUUUUCUUACUAGUAAAUAAAUUGUGGAAUUUACAAUCUAUGACAUGUGAGAUUUGGUUAAAUAAUAUAUACUUUAUGGAGUUGUUCUGAGAUAGAAGUAAAAUAAUGAUAGAAAACUCUAAGUAAUAUCUAUUAAUGUUGUUCAGUAUGGUUUUUCAUAAACUCUGGCAUUACCCUGUCCUUUUAAUCAUAAUUUUUGUCUGCCAAAACUGGAAGUUCUUUUCAAAAUCCUUGUGCUGGAAUAGUCUACCUACUGAAUUGUUCAUUAAAUUUCCUCUAAUUUCUCUGGCAGCAAGAUAUUGACCCUAAGGGCAUAAGUCUGAAACAUGAUCAAAAUAAAGGUUUGGACAAGUCCACACUGAUUUGUCAGAUUAAGCUCUCUGCAGACAAAGAGAGGAGUAAACAGUGAGCAUGCCUCACCAGUGCCCAGCCCAUAGGUAGCAUUACCACAGUGUUGUUGAGAGGCAGCAGUGUGCAUAGCGUGGUGAAGGACCACAGAUUCUGAACUGGACUGGCCGAGUUCAAAUCUUGGCUCUUCCCUUUACAAGCUGUGCAACAUUGGAGAAGUUACUCAACCUCUCUCUGGCCUCCAUUUCUUCCUGGGGUUAUUGUGAAAAUUAAAUGAGAGCUGUCUAUGUCUA